rnacentral:lncRNA from 1 species
AUAUGUUACGUACUCGUCCUAGCUAGACAGUGUUAGGGCAAUACGGCGAUCGGUAUAGGUGUAAGUAACUGGCUGGCUUCUCUUCCCUAGCUGCUAGGCAAAUUUUGGUACGCGAAAAAGACCAACCGUGACACCUCGAUGUGAUCCGGAGCUGUCUUUUGGGGCAAGGAAGGGGGAAAUUCUACCGUGUUUUUGGCAAGUCAGGUAAAUGCGACAAGUCCUUUUCGUGUGUAUUGUCUACUUUUCUCGCUUUGGAUGAGUUUUCCCGGCCCAGUGUGCAAGUGUUCCUUGUCAUGUGGGAUGGACUGCCUUCUUGCCUAGGCACAAGGGCGUAGUUGCUGCUGCGCCGUGUGGCUCGUGUGUAGCCUAGUGUGCUACGCCGUGUGGCUCGUGUGUAGCCUAGUGUAGCUGGCUACGCCGUGUGGCUCGUGUGUAGCCUACUGUAGCUGGUGUAGUCUGUCCGUAAAUGUGCUAGCUCUAGCUGGCUACGCGAAUGACAGCUGCGUGACCGUGCGAGUCGUGUUUUCUGGGCAAAGCCUCUCUCGCCUCCUCUGGUGCAUGGAUCUGUGUGCGAGACAUGCAAUGUUUGAUUCGAUGGGGCUUUGACAGCUCUGUGAUGGGUAUUUAUUGGACUGUGAUGUCCUUUUCUCUCGG